AAACGGCCCCCCGCCCCGCCCCGCCCCAGCCUACCUCCUUCCCCGCCCCCCACCCCACCCCCGCAAAGCCUCGCUCCGCCCUCUCAGCCGUUUCUUUCCUCCCCCACUCGCCUUCCUUUCCCUCUCCUCCCCAGAGGGGAGUCACGUGACCCGAGCCUAGCCGAAGCUCGGGCGCGGAACAGGAAAAAUCUGGCGGAGGCCGAUAAGAGAACCAGGAACCAGGGCGAGGCGUUGCUAAGGGGCGGUUGCUAGGGCGGUGCUCGGGGGACUCGCUCUAUAUAAGGGCCGAGGCCGCUACUGGCUCUGAGUACGCCUUUCUUCUGCUUGCUUGUUUGUCUACAAUUAGCGAGCCGAGGAGCCCGGCCUUGUGGUCACGUGCGUCCUCGCAACCAAUCCAGUGCUUUGUUGUAGGCAGGCGGGCACUAAGGCCGGAGGAGAGCUGCGGGGCCUCGGUUCGGUUGGGCUACGGUGGGGGCUGGCGGCCGGGGGUGGGAGAAGGGCCUGGGCCCACCUCGGGCAGUCGUUUCCAUUUAUCUCAUUCCCUCUUCCGACCCAUAGACAGCCGCAAGUUUCACACCCUAAUAGUCCCGUGGUCCUAGAGGAGACCCUCCCCUAAACUUACUAGGGGGCGGGGCGCCCUUAGCCUGCGCUAAAGGCUCCAGAUGCAGGCCGGCCUCCUCAUGUGCGCGAGUGUUCGUUUCCAACGCUUCGAAAAAUGCAGAACAUUUCUAGAAAUGGGUCGUAGCGGAAGGUCAGGCGGGAUUCUACGCCCGCACCUUGUCUCUGACCUCCAUUUUGACGUGUUGGUCCGGAGAGGUGCAGUCUCUGCGGAUAAACACGCUUGACUUGUGCACAUCUAUGGGGGAAAAAAAAAUCUAAGAACGGCUUAAACACAGAGAUCCUGUGGGCAAUAGCCGAAUUUCGGGGUCUCUGAAGCUCUAGCGUUCGGCUUCAUCUCACUUUUGUCAGGAACCGGAGGGUCUCGAGCAGGACGACACAGGAAGGGUGAGGAGGAAAUCGACAAACAAACAAACAACAACAAAAAACCCCGUGGUGUGGUUGUGCUUCCUGCUUGGAACGAGGUGGUUCUCCUAUAGUCUGAGGCGUCCUGAGGGGACGGAAUUAGAGACUGUCCUCGCGUUGGGUUUCCCAGAGAAAAACGAGGUUUAACGGUUCUGCCUCUCUGAGGUCUGUAGUACCAUUUGCACCUAGUAAAAGGUUUGAAGAAGGCGGGAAAUGAGAUGACUAUUGACUGACUGAAGGACGGAGCUUGUUUAAAAAGCUCGGUCAGCUGGUUCUGAAGUCAGGCAUGAGAAUGAACUCUUCAGCUGAAAACGGAACGUACUUGAACGUUGAGAAAAAUCAAACAGCUAUGAAGAAUUCGGCCACUGAGAGAGGAUUUUGUUGUUGUUUUUAUGCCUCUCUUGCCAUCCCAUCAGCCUUGGCAUCUUGCAGUGGGGCAGCUUGCUCGGGAGGGCCCCAUAGAAGCUGAUGUCCUCAGUGGAGAACUGGCCCAGAGAGAGUCCAGCUGGGAGCUGAGCUGAGCUGCAAAAAGGAGCAGGCCCAGGGAGCCAGCAGAGCGGCCUGCCCAGUAGAGGCACUGUGCCCACAGCGAGCACUGGAGGAGAACAAUAGGAGAGAAAGCAUCGGGGCCCUGUAGGGUUAGAUGUGUGACUUCUCUUGGCCCUAUCACCACCACAUGUCUGCCGCAGCGCUAGUUAAUACUCUGUGUGUUCACCUCCAUUUUCCACUGAUAGCAUUAUGUAGGGAAAAUGUCCAGGUUUAUAAAAGAAAUGUUGUGUUACUAUUAUGCCAUUCAGUGAAUGCUUUUGCUUUGACCUAUCAUCUGGCCCACUAUUCAUCAUCUUUUAUACUAGGGUAGAUUCUUGUGAACUUUUAAUGUAGACUCCAAAAAAUACCCUAUGAUUUCCUUAGUGUAGGAAACUCGGAGAUGAAAAAACUUCCUCUACCAACUCAGUAUCUCCUCUGCUACUUACAAAUCUAAAGAAUCACCUAAGGCACUGAGAGUCACUCAUCGGGGUCGCACUGUCAGAAACCGCAGCUGAACUCAGGACUUCUAGCUCCAAGGCUAGAUCUCCUUUGACCGUGCUGCCUCUCUUGUAUUCUCAAUACACUCAUACAUGACUUUUUAUCCCAGGGAAUUAAGAAUACUAUGUACUAGUAUUGUUGGCUUCCUUCUGUAAAAAGAAAACGGGAGCACUAUUUUCCAGAUUUCUGCUCUCUGUGGUAAACUGAUGACUUUGACAGUCACUAGUAAAGGCUCACAGUUAUGUGUCUUUAAACCUCACAGUACUGAGAAGUAUAUGCUAUUACUAUCUCCAUUUUAUAGAUCAGAAAAUUGAGCCUCACAGAGGUUAAGUGCCUUGAGUCAGAGAGCUAUCAAAUAUCUGGGGCAGGAUUUGAACCCAAAUGUUUCUGAUCCGCUAUUCCACACUGCCUCCUCAAAAUGGAAAUAACUUGCAAGAAAGAUUCAUCUCAAAUCUGUCACACUACCUUGGGGCAAAUCAUUCCUCACUCAGAAACUCCCUCUCUGUAAAAUGAGGGUGGGAUUAAGAUCUCUUCUUUACCUAAAAUCUUAUAAUUUAGCCAGGCAUACAAGACAUAGCAGUAGAAGAAGGAAAAAAUGAGACUUAGCAGAGAGGAAGGUCUAAUGAUUGAGAUAUCAUUCCUGGCCAACCUACAAAGAUUACUGAUUGGCCGCAGCAGACUCCACCUACUCCAGAAGAAUGUCAUAGAAGAUAGACAUGAGAAAAAAAGAGAAUGAAUAGUGGCUACAAUUUACCUUAACCAAUGUUGUUUUAUCUCCUUUGUGAAUGUAUAAAGCAAAUAGGUAAUGAUAAAAAAGCAGGUAUCUCUAGUUCCUAAAUAUCUUGUAGGUCAGUCAGUAAGCAAUUAUUAAAUUUUUACUGCGGACCAACCACUUUUAAGCAAUGGAGACACAAGAAAAAAGCAAAAGCACAGUCUACUCUCAAGAUACAUUCUAAGAAGGGAGAUCACUUUACAAAUAACUAUAUCCAAGAUAAAUAUACUGUAAAUGGAAAUUGAGGCCAUAUAGUAUAAUUUAACUACCAGGAAGUGACAACAGCAGAUGGACUGUGCUGCUGUGUGGUAAAUUUGUGACCGAGUGACUCAAUUUUUACCACACAGGCCUUUGGCAUAAGGAGACAGACUGGUACAGUCUCAUAAAUAAUGGCAGAUCUUCUAAACCAGUCAAACACAAUUUGUGUGUGCUCAAUAGGGAAAGAAAGGUACUUUCUAUGAGCACUUAUUAAGCAUUCUAUGUGCAAACCUCUAUGAAAGUAUGUGCAGGAAGUCCCUGCUAAAAUGAACCUAAGAGUCUAAAUAGGAAUAAGACAUACAAGUAACUCUAAUAAAAAAUAGGACAGAAGAGUGUGUAAGAAAGGUACAGAUGCUGUGCAAGGUGGUGGGAGGCAGAGGAGAAUGGAGAUUAUCUGGGACAAGAAGGAUCAGGAGGACUUCAGAGAGGAGGUACAGAAAGGACAAUUGAAGACAAGGGAAAUGGGAGAUUACACAUCGACUCAGCUAGCAUGUAAAAUACUUAGAAGGCUAAGUGUGAUGAGGAAGUAAGGUAGAUUGGCAGUUGAUUGUAAAAGACCUACAACUCUUAAGUUAUUGACUGAACAUUUUUAAAAGGUACUGGAAAAAAAAGUGUAGUUCAGGGGCCUGAUAUGACAUUUUUCAUUGGAAAAUCAUUAGAAUCAUCGUUGAUGACAAAGGUCACCAGCUGUAUAUAGGCUGACUUGUCUGGUAUGAGAAAAGCAAACAUAUCAUAAAUGUUCCUGCCAUUAAUCUACAAAUUAAUACAUAUUGGCUCAGGGAUGACAAAGUCAGUGCCUGGGAGGAAAAGAGCAAUACUCUUAAGUGAGAACCAAGAACCCAACUUGUUCAGUCACUUAAGACAUCAUUUCACCCCUCUUCCUCUAUUAGCCAGGCUAGAAGAUACUAAAGAGUGAGUUGAGGUGUAGAAGUAAAUGAGACAAAUAGUCGGCUGUAAUGUUGAGGUAGGCUGUAAGGGACAGAAGAAAAGAGGAAGGGAAAAAGUAUUAGAGAAAAGAAAAGGCAUAGAAAUAAAAAUAAACCCUCGAACUCUAGGAUUCUUGAGCUCAUGGUUCAAUUUAAUUGAAUGAGGGAGGAAGGAGAAAAUUAUAUAGAAACUAGUACAUCCAUGGUGUGUCUGACAGUCGUUCUCUAACCUCUAGGAGAAGCAGGAGAAAAGGGAGUAGAUUCCAACAGAAGGGAUUUACAUCAAAAGAAUGCUGGUAAUUUUUUUUUAUGUCAGUUUUGUUUCCAGUAAAGUCCACUUCGAAAUAAGUAAAAUUGUAAAUGUUUAUUUAAAUUUGACAGCUUAAAGGAAAAUUUCAUAAAAUGCCCACAUAAUUGAAACUGGAGCCUAGGACUUGACUUGUUUAGGUUGGACUAGGUUUCUGAGGUCCCUUCCAAAAUUAAAAUUCUGUGAUUUCAAUUCUUAUAGUCGGAGAUAGUCUACUAUUACUUUGCUCUGAAUUUCAAAGAGCUCACAUUACCCUCAUUGAGCGUCAUUUUCCCUUUGACACAAGAACAUAGUGACUACCUUGACUUCUUAUGGUUCAAGUUCAUGUCUGUGAGCUCUAAUGUUUUUGAAUAAAAGAUGCCUUGCUAAUGUAAACUCUUUUAAAAGGGCCCAGUUGAACAGGUCAGCUGACUCAGAUUAUAAUUUUGAAUCCAUUCCAAAAGUUACUUUAAAAAGCCUCAUCUGUCUGGAAACCCAUUGCUCUGAAACCUCAACCUGGUUUUUGUUUUGUUUUUGAAAUAAGCUUUCAUGCAGCCUCACGAUUCUAGAAUAUAUUUGAGAAGUAGCACAAAUGAGUAAAGACCUCUGAUUAGACAAAGUAGGUAUCAGAAAGUUGGUCUACUAAAAUCAUAAA